ensembl:lncRNA LINC01685 long intergenic non-protein coding RNA 1685
AUGCAGAUACACACAGCACAGCUAGUUUCAAAAUUAAACCACAAUGAAAACUGUCACUACUGACAAGGAACUAUGCAAAGACCUUCGGUCUCAGGCCCUUGCUCACUCAGGAGUACCUUGAGACCUGUUUCUUCCUGUUCAGCUGCAGUCACGGUUCUAACCUGGUUCUUCUCACGGCUGGUAUCCUCUGACCUUUUAUGUCUUGGCAAUGACUUCCAUGCAUUUUGGCAGUGACUGCCUGAAUCUCUGAUUCAACCCUGAUCGCAGCCUCUCGGGCUUUCUCGCUCCUUUAAUUCUUUCCGCGGAUGGCCACGGCUUUUGCCGCCUGUACCCUUCCUGGAGCAACCCGUGCUUUUGAAAAAUGACCAUGCCGAAGGGGAACUAACACUCCCAGCCUGGUGCGGGUCUUGUCAAUCUGAUUUUUAAAUGAUGGAGGAGGAGGUUUGAGGACAAAGCUCAUGGUGGCAUUACCACUAUCAGGGACGCUGCAAAGAUCAAGUGAAAAGGGGAAAAGGCUCUUCUCAAUGUGAGCACAUUCACAGGCUCUGAGAACAGAGAGGUAUUUAAAGUGAACUGGAACAAACCUGCAACAUCCGUCAGAGAAAAACACUCAUUGAACCCUCCACUGGAAAGUAGCUGCAAAAGACCCCCUGAUCCCAAACCUGCUUGACAGACCACAGCCAAGGGCAGGGACACUCAACAACUGUAAACGAGGAACAUUUCACAGCGGCAGCUGGCCCCUCUCUUCUUCCAACCAGCCAAUAUUUUUUGUCUUUCUAGAAAACCUGUCUUGUUCAAAGGCCUGAUGGAGCUGAUUCGGUUGUGAUCCUGGGCAUAUGGAUGGCAUAUUUGCUGCGAGCUAGGUGAGACGCGUCCCAGAAGGACCGCUGCCAGCCCCCGCAGCCGCCUUCUCCUGCUCCCGGGAGGCUGGGGCUGGCCGCGGAGCAGCGAAACCGGCCGGAUCCAGGGUAACUGCGGCCCACUUUGUUUUCAGCCGGCCCCCGCUGCUGCGGACAAAUCUUUCAUUCAUGAACAGGAGCUUGUUAGGCCAACUCCGGACUCUAAAGCCACUUAAUUAAAUUGUGGAAA